AUUGAACGCUGGCGGCAGGCCUAACACAUGCAAGUCGAGCGGAUGAGGGAAGCUUGCUUCCCGAUUUAGCGGCGGACGGGUGAGUAAUGCCUAGGAAUCUGCCUAUUAGUGGGGGAUAACGUUCCGAAAGGAACGCUAAUACCGCAUACGUCCUACGGGAGAAAGUGGGGGAUCUUCGGACCUCACGCUAAUAGAUGAGCCUAGGUCGGAUUAGCUAGUUGGUGAGGUAACGGCUCACCAAGGCGACGAUCCGUAGCUGGUCUGAGAGGAUGAUCAGCCACACUGGAACUGAGACACGGUCCAGACUCCUACGGGAGGCAGCAGUGGGGAAUAUUGGACAAUGGGCGAAAGCCUGAUCCAGCCAUGCCGCGUGUGUGAAGAAGGUCUUCGGAUUGUAAAGCACUUUAAGUUGGGAGGAAGGGUUGUAAGCUAAUAUCUUGCAGCUUUGACGUUACCAACAGAAUAAGCACCGGCUAACUCUGUGCCAGCCGCCGCCGUAA
rnacentral:rRNA from 1 species